CAAUGGCCCUAUUGAAGCUCAUCUCGUUAACCCAUGACAUGUAUGAGUCAAAGUGGAGCCAAAAGCAAACCAUUUCUUUACGGUCGCUGUUUGACUGCUGUUUUCCACGUCUUGCAGCAUUACCAAAAGAUUUGACAUGA
rnacentral:snoRNA from 1 species